UACGUAGGGUGCAAGCGUUGUCCGGAAUUAUUGGGCGUAAAGAGCUCGUAGGCGGUCUGUCGCGUCGGCUGUGAAAACUCGGGGCUCAACCCCGAGCCUGCAGUCGAUACGGGCAGACUAGAGUGCUGUAGGGGAGACUGGAAUUCCUGGUGUAGCGGUGAAAUGCGCAGAUAUCAGGAGGAACACCGGUGGCGAAGGCGGGUCUCUGGGCAACACUGACGCUGAGGAGCGAAAGCGUGGGGAGCGAACAGGA
rnacentral:rRNA from 1 species